UUCAGGUCACUUCUUAGAAAGCUUUGUGAAGAAAUGCAAAUUCUCAGAUUGUCAGAACAAAACAGUGGAAGUUUCGCUAAGAAAGAAAGGCUUAGCCACAGCUUUUUCCCCCUAUAAGACUGAUUAUUAAACUGAGUUCAUGAUGCAGCUUUAUCGAGCUCUGAUCCUGUGUGUGACUCUGUCUGCAGUAUGUGGAUUACGAUGCUACACAUGUACAGCCGCUGAUCCUAAAUCCUGCAUAGACAGCAAAUCUUGUGCCGUCAUCUUCAACCGUUGUUUCUCUCUCAGAGUAGACGGUUAUAACUUGGUUACAAAGGGCUGCCAAACCAGUGCAUUAUGCAUUGGGUCUAUGGCUUGCUGUGAAGGGGACCUGUGUAACAGCACUACUCCAACCGGUCCCAGUGCUUUCCUGCUGUUGGUAUCUUCAGCCAUCCUCAAGUUUCUUUUCUGAGGCUGUGGAAUGAUGUUUUUUCUAUUUCUUUUUUUCCUUUUUUAAAAAAAAUAAAUAAAAAAUGCUGCUUUCUGAUUUUAUUUUGUACAACUGAAGAAUAAAUAACUUUGUUGUACCAUCA